rnacentral:lncRNA from 1 species
CUUCUCGACACCCCGUUCGUUUUAUCGGGUGUUUACGAGCACAGAGUCCAAAAUCAUUCGAAAUCAUGUCUCUGUAACACCCUCGUCCGUUACACCUCAUCUCUUCGUUGUCCGUGUCCAUCCAAGUCGUCUCUUCUCUUCUCCACUUGUAUCUGCAGCUGUUGAUUCCACAGAUCCCUCUCCUCCUGUACCCGCCAACUCCCGACUGCUUACAGCCGUUUCCAUGGUAACUGCUCCGCCAUUGGCUGCUGAUGCGGCCUUCGGGGCUUAUAAGGUGCAGCGCUGACUCCUGCUUGCCUGUAUGUCUGCCUCCGUGGGUGUCCGGCUGUUGAUCUGCCGGGCAUUUUUGUGUGCCCUCGUGUACCUCGUCCGCCUGUUUGUACAAGCCUGUCUCAGUGAUCGCGGUUGUUCUCAUUUCCCCUUUUGUCGUUGUUGUUGUUGCCCCGUUGUUGACAUGUGCAGAGUCCGCCUUGAAUCCCACAAGUCGUGAUCGGCUUUGCGGUUUCUUCAGGAGUUUCUCACAGUGAGAGAAACUUGUUCAGAACGAACAUUAUUCCGUGUCGACGUCGUGCGGACUUGAAAACGUGAUGGUGGAAGAAUGUGGUGAAAGGAACAUUACACAUGGAUACCGAAUUUCCUCUGAGAGCAGAUCAAAAGGCGUCCUUGGCGAGCACUUCAAAUGCCUGGCCCUUGUUCAAGAGGCUGGGUGAGGACCGACGAGUGGACCGAGCAGCCUCGGAGCAGGAGCACGGAAUCUGUUUCGACUUUUCGUGGAUUUCAGGGCAAUGUGGGAUUUCCUUCCCACCAAAGGACGGUGCUCGGUGCUCGGUGCUCGGUGCUCGGUGAAGGUUGCGAUGCGGGAAGAAGACAACACGGCCAUCACAGCGGCACGGGAGCGUUCAAACGUCGGGAGCAAUUUCUCAUCGAACUAAGGCGUGUGCAGCAGCGCACUUGAGCAGUUUGUGCAAAGUGGAGACUGGGAUGGCAGAACCGUGGUGGGCCAUGACGGAAUCCUGAAGCCCUGGGUUUGAAUUGAAAGUCCACAAGAACCUGGCAGGUAGGGUACAUAAUGGCGGUUUCUUCACGUGAAUCGUGACCUUUUGAGUGAUGGGUCGUUCGUGUCAUUUUUCGGAAGAAUUCACUUCUAGGACUU